AUUGAACGCUGGCGGCAGGCCUAACACAUGCAAGUCGAGCGAGCGGCGGACGGGUGAGUAAUGUAUGGGGACUGCCCGAUAGAGGGGGAUAACUACUGGAAACGGUAGCUAAUACCGCAUACUAUCGGAUAACCCAUAUGGGAUUAGCUAGUAGGUGAGGUAAUGGCUGACCUAGGCGACGAUCCCUAGCUGGUCUGAGAGGGUGAGCAGCCACCCUGGGACUGAGGAACGGCCAAGACUCCUACGGAGGCAGCAGUGGGGAAUAUUGCACAAUGGGCGCAAGCGUGAGGCAGCCAUGCCGCGUGUAUGAAGAAGGCCCUAGGGUUGUAAAGUACUUUCAGUCGGGAUGCGUUACCGACAGAAGAAGCACCGGCUAACUCCGUGCCAGCAGCCGCGGUAAUUC
rnacentral:rRNA from 1 species